GAUGAACGCUGGCGGCGUGCCUAAUACAUGCAAGUCGAGCGAACAGACGAGGAGCUUGCACCUCUGACGUUAGCGGCGGACGGGUGAGUAACACGUGGAUAACCUACCUAUAAGACUGGGAUAACUUCGGGAAACCGGAGCUAAUACCGGAUAAUAUAUUGAACCGCAUGGUUCAAUAGUGAAAGACGGUUUUGCUGUCACUUAUAGAUGGAUCCGCGCCGCAUUAGCUAGUUGGUAAGGUAACGGCUUACCAAGGCAACGAUGCGUAGCCGACCUGAGAGGGUGAUCGGCCACACUGGCACUGCGCCACGGUCCAGACUCCUACGGGCGGCAGCAGUAGGGAAUCUUCCGCAAUGGGCGAAAGCCUGACGGAGCAACGCCGCGUGAGUGAUGAAGGUCUUCGGAUCGUAAAACUCUGUUAUUAGGGAAGAACAAAUGUGUAAGUAACUAUGCACGUCUUGACGGUACCUAAUCAGAAAGCCACGGCUAACUCCGUG
rnacentral:rRNA from 1 species